CUCAUUCGAUCCUUCAAAUCUUGAUUUUCUAACUCCAAUUCCUGAGCAUUAUGUUCCUUCUGAUACAGCUUGACAUUCACCUCUUCCUGUGCAUGCAGCCGAUUCCACUUCUGUGACAUAUUGUUCAUCUUUUGUUCAGGCUGCCCUCUUUUCAUGGUAUCUCUUGCUUUGCUGGAAUCCUCAACGGCAGCUUUUAUUAAAGCCAAAAUGUCAAUAUUGUCACCAAUUCUGGCAUAGUAAGCACAGUCAUGACCAAGGCCAUCAACCAAACUAACAUCCGCACCAUUUUUGAGCAAAACUUCUACCGCGUCCUUGCAGCCAUAUUCACAGCCCAACAUUAGGGCCGUCCUGUUCUGUUUGUCC
rnacentral:lncRNA from 1 species